rnacentral:rRNA from 1 species
GAUGAACGCUAGCGGCAGGCCUAAUACAUGCAAGUCGUACGGCAACACAGUUGCGAGCAAUCGCAACCGGUGCGAGUGGCGCACGGGUGAGUAACGCGUAUGUAACCUACCCUUCUCCGGGACAUAACUCCGCGAAAGCGGUGCUAAUAUCCCAUACCAACUCAUCAAGACAUCUUCUUGAGUUGAAAGCAGCAAUGCGGUGAAGGAUGGGCAUGCGUCCCAUUAGCUGGUUGGUGAGGUAAUGGCCCACCAAGGCUACGAUGGGUAGGGGUUCUGAGAGGAAAGCCCCCCACACUGGUACUGAGACACGGACCAGACUCCUACGGGAGGCAGCAGUAAGGAAUAUUGGGCAAUGGUCGAAAGACUGACCCAGCCAUGCCGCGUGCAGGAUGAAGGCCCUAUGGGUUGUAAACUGCUUUUAGCCGGGAAUAAACACCCGUUUUAUAACGGGCCCGAAGGUACCGGCUGAAUAAGCAUCGGCUAACUCCGUG